rnacentral:rRNA from 1 species
UACGUAGGUGGCAAGCGUUGUCCGGAAUUACUGGGCGUAAAGCGUGCGCAGGCGGUUCGUUGUGUCCGUCGUGAAAGCCCCGGGCUUAACCUGGGAACUGCGAUGGAAACUAGCGAGCUGGAGUGUGGCAGGAGGGGGGUGGAAUUCCGCGUGUAGCAGUGAAAUGCGUAGAGAUCCGGAGGAACACCAGUGGCGAAGGCGACACGCUGGGCCGUACCUGACACUGAUGCGCGACAGCAUGGGGAGCAAACAGG